CAAAGUUUAUACAAGUUUUGGCAUUAGAGCCGCUGAAGUGUUGAUUUAGUAAUUUUCUAUUUGUGUUUUCGGUUAGUAAAGAGUUAUUUUGAUGAAUUAAAAAAAAGGCUCAUUUAAUUGCUAAGCUAUAGAAAACAAUAAUAUUGUAGGGCCUAGAGAGCACAUGAUAAAAACGUUAGAUAAACGAAUAUAAAUAAAAACUUUACUAAAUCUAAAUUGGGACAAUUUCAACUCACUGAGUUUUCUUCAGUCAGUUAUAACUAAAUAAAUAGACCAUCAUAAUAAAAUUAAAUAAUUUAAAUGUUACAAAUCAUACAGUGUUUAAAAAAGAUAAAUAAGAAAAACUAGUAAUGUUUAUAAGAUUCAAGCUUAUAAGAAAUGCAAAUUAUUCAAUAAUAAAAGAACAAAGAGGAAAAUCCUAUUCCACAUAUAAUCUUAAACUUGCAAUCCAUUUGUCCUACCAAUACAUGAGAUAGGAUCUCAUCAUCUGGAACAGUAAACAAUCAAAGAUUUGUCUGAGUCUAGAGUUACAAUUUUCAAGCCUAUAAUAGCCUGAUUGCGAAAAGUUCAAUAAUUAUAAAAGUUGCAAAAGUUAACGAUAAAUAAGAAUAUAACAUACAAAUUUGAUGUUAUAAAUUUAAAUUAAUGAAAAAUUAAACAUACAAAUUUAUAUUAAACAUGUUGAGAAUAUUUGUAUACACUUGUAAUGAACUGACCAAUCGUUAUUGUUGUCAAUAUUGUUACAAACUAAUAAAGCGAUAAAGAAAUUUACAUAUUAUGUAUAUAUAAUGUAUAUAUUAGUGUAUAUGUAUAGAUGAAAUUGUUGGAGCAUAAAUGUCAUGGUCAGUAAUAAAAAAUUAAAACAACUAUUAGAUAAUUUAUUUAUUGGGUUGGCAACUAAGUGAUUACGGAUUUUGUCAAUAGAUGGUCUUUUGCACAUUUUUUUUUUUUUGUUUUGUCAACGUGUUUAAAGCACCUAACCUGUAUUGUUUUCUUGUUGUUUGGACUUCUGCUUUUAAUUUAGUAAAAAAAUUUUAUUGAUUAGUUAUUUAGUUUUGUUUUUAUCCCAAUUAAAAAAUGGAAGAACAAGACGUGCAUUUCAGACAUAUUUUAGUGUAUUAUUUCCGAAAAAGCAAGAACGCAUCGCAAGCACACAAGAAGUUAUGUGCCAUAUAUGGAAUGAAGCCUUGAAAGAAAGGCAGUGUCAAAAUUGGUUUGCCAAAUUUUGUUCUGACGGAAGUCCAAACAAUAAGAAAACAAUAUAGGUUAAGUGCUUUGAACACGUUGACAAAACAAAAGAAUGUGCUAAGACCAUCUCUAUUGACAAAAUCUGCAAUCACUUAGUUGCCAACCCAAUAUAUAAUUCAAAUACGAGUUAUCGAGUAAUUCAGUGUCACUGUUAGCAUUUUUUGUGGUUUAAUAUGUAGCACUUCGGAAAUUAGCCUUUUAUAAUAUUGCGGUUUAUGAUCUAAAAUUAAGAAGUUGUGUUAAUCAAAAUUAGGAUCAAAAUUUAUUCUGUGUUCAAUGACUGAAUGUUACGAUUAUUCAGCUUAAUGUUGUUUAUAUACUCUUUUAAUGUAGUUUUUAAUUGGCUUUUAGUUUGCUCUAUAGACAUGAUAAGACAAAAAAAUAUUGGGUUACUUAGUGACUAAAACACAUACAUUAUUGUUACAAGAAAUCUGAUUAAGAAUAUUGAAUUGACUUUAUGAUAUCAUUAAAAAUAAUUGAAUUACAAUUAUAUUUUUAGACAGAAAUAUACAUUACGCUCUAACAAUUAUUUGUUGCCCAAAGCUUAUAUUACUUCCUAAGAUCCAUAAAAAAGAUCUAUUGGAAUUAUUAUAUUUUUAGUUAACAUUAUACUUUGUUCACUGAGAGAAAGCGAAAUAUUCGGACGAGUUUUCAUCCGCUUCGCGCAGGUUCUAUCUACAGGACGACUGGGGAGCUUCUUUCUCCUUUGCUCUCACAGGCCUAUAGGCUUGUAAGCAUUCUUUCCACUAUGCUGUCCAUAUGUGCAGACCCUUUUGUCUUCUCUCAAUGAACAGAAUAUAGUUUUAAUAAAAAAGUAUUUUCACAAAAUUAUUUUAGACAAUAUUUUACAUGCUGAUAGUUAUGUAGAAAAUAGGUUUUAAGCUUUGCAACAUGCUAAAAAAAUUUCUGACUUGGGUGUAUUGAUCUCAUUAGAUGCAACAUUGCUAUUUAUCAACAUUUCUAUUAAUUUGACUAAAUGGUAUUAGAAAUAGAUAGUCAUAUAUUUAAAGAAGCACGAAUAUUCUGAAAAACGAAUUUAUUUCAAUGAUUUGAUUUAUUUAAAAAAAGUUAAAUAGGAUAGAGAUUUACCAAUGUUAAAACAAACUAAAAAGUAAAAAUGAAAGAGUUAUGUGAGUUAGUGUGAAAAUUGAUGCACAAUGAUUUAAUCAAUUAACAUUAUGCAAUUAAAUAACUAAUUGAUACAUAAAAUUUUUUGACAUUCUGUUAUUGUUUGCCUUCUUACAUUAACAUUGUAUCAAUCGCUUUCUUUUGAACGCAAAAGCAGACUCACUUUAAGAUCGGCAGUAAUCACAAUUAAAAAAUGUGUAUGUAUGCGUUUGUGUGUAUAGUCCAAGCGUGGUCACAGCGAUAAAAAAUAAAAUAAAAGGAUGUACAAAAGUUUUAGAUUAAAUGUUAAAUUGUAAAAGCACCGAUUUAAAAUGCUGUAAUGAGUUACGUAUGUACAACAAUUAAAAUUGGAUUUUACUUCUGAAUUAUUUUAAAAAAA